rnacentral:rRNA from 1 species
GACGAACGCUGGCGGCGUGCUUAACACAUGCAAGUCGAACGGAAAGGCCCUGCUUUUGUUGGGUGCUCGAGUGUCGAACGGGUGAGUAACACGUGAGUAACCUGCCCUUGACUUUGGGAUAACUUCAGUAAACUGGGGCUAAUACCGGAUAGGAGCUCCUGCUGCCUGGUGGGGGUUGGAAAGUUUCGGCGGUUGGGGAUGGACUCGCGGCUUAUCAGCUUGUUGGUGGGGUAUUGGCUUACCAAGGCUUUGACGGGUAGCCGGCCUGAGAGGGUGACCGGCCACAUUGGGACUGAGAUACGGCCCAGACUCCUACGGGAGGCAGCAGUGGGGAAUAUUGCACAAUGGGCGGAAGCCUGAUGCAGCAACGCCGCGUGCGGGAUGACGGCCUUCGGGUUGUAAACCGCUUUCGCCUGUGACGAAGCGUGAGUGACGGUAAUGGGUAAAGAAGCACCGGCUAACUACGUG